rnacentral:piRNA from 1 species
UUUCUAGGUGGCCUCAUUUUCAGGUGUU